CAGUGAGCAGACUGUGAGACAAAUCAUUGAAGGCAAUUCUUGCAGACCGCGGAGUUUGCCACGGCGGUAGUUAAGUGUUCAGGAGCAGUUGUCGAGUUUCCUGAGAAGCAGAACAAUACAAAGUGAGAUGCAGUUUUAGUUUUCUAAAUAGCAAGUGAAGUGAAAUUCAAUAAACUGGUAAAUAAAUAACAGGAAUGCCAUACGUCUGGCGCACCCAAGCUACUCGUAGUCUGCCAGUCCGCCUCCCUUCCUGCGAGUAUUUACGAGUUGCAUUUUACCUGAAUGAAGUCCGCGUCGUUUACAGUAGCGAAACUUACGGAGUAGCAUUAUAUAAGGCGGGCUUUUCCUGAGAUGUAGGUGAAUGUAGAAGUAUAUAGUGUGGCUGCUGGGACGCAAUAUCAGGUGGUUCCGGUAACAUGUCAUCAGGAGUGCUGCUGUGGUAGAUAAGCUGAGGCUGUGUAGCAGGGAAUCAGUACAAAAAAAGAUAAAAAAAAAAAAACGUACCAACACUAGCAGCACCAGCAAUUUGAGGAAGCGGACACCAUCAGGACGGAUUAAAGCUCCCAACUUACGUGCCCGUGGCGCUGUCAAUGGAGAAGAUGGGUCGACCUGACUGUUCGUCGAUCACAUUUUUGUCGACGGAGUAGGUGACGGCAGCGUUGGCACCUUCCUCGGGGUCAUCCAGCACCGAGGCCUCAAUGACGUUGUGUGGGAAGAAGGGCGCGUUAUCGUUGAUGUCUUUAACAUUGACGUGGACCUGCGCUCGUGCAGUAUGCAGGCCAUCCGUCGCCGCUACCCACAGCCUCCACCGCGCCCG